AACGCUGGCGGCAGGCCUAACACAUGCAAGUCGAGCGGAAACGAGUUAUCUGAACCUUCGGGGAACGAUAACGGCGUCGAGCGGCGGACGGGUGAGUAAUGCCUAGGAAAUUGCCUUGAUGUGGGGGAUAACUAUUGGAAACGAUAGCUAAUACCGCAUAAUGCCUUCGGGCCAAAGAGGGGGACCUUCGGGCCUCUCGCGUCAGGAUAUGCCCAGGUGGGAUUAGCUGGUUGGUGAGGUAAAGGCUCACCAAGGCGACGAUCCCUAGCUGGUCUGAGAGGAUGAUCAGCCACACUGGAACUGAGACACGGUCCAGACUCCUACGGGAGGCAGCAGUGGGGAAUAUUGCACAAUGGGCGCAACCCUGAUGCAGCCAUGCCGCGUGUGUGAAGAAGGCCUUCGGGUUGUAGAGCACUUUCAGUUGUGAGGAAGGCAUUGUCGUUAAUAGCGGCAGUGUUUGACGUUAGCAACAGAAGAAGCACCGGCUAACUCCGUGCCAGCAGCCGCGGUAAUACGGAGGGUGCGAGCGUUAAUCGGAAUUACUGGGCGUAAAGCGCAUGCAGGCGGCUUGUUAAGCCAGAUGUGAAAGCCCGGGGCUCAACCUCGGAAUAGCAUUUGGAACUGUCAGGCUAGAGUCUUGUAGAGGGGGGUAGAAUUUCAGGUGUAGCGGUGAAAUGCGUAGAGAUCUGAAGGAAUACCGGUGGCGAAGGCGGCCCCCUGGACAAAGACUGACGCUCAGAUGCGAAAGCGUGGGGAGCAAACAGGAUUAGAUACCCUGUAGUCCACGCCGUAACGAUGUCUACUUGGAGGUGUGUCUGACACUGGCUUUCGAGCUAACGCGUA
rnacentral:rRNA from 1 species